ACUACGGUAGCCUAGCGGUCAUGGUCGUCGACUCGCUUUCGUCGAGUCGUGGGUUCGAACCAUGAUGCCACUUAAGUCCCACCUUGUAGCA